AGGAUGAAAAGACGCGCACACACACACCUGUAAACACUUGAAAUAAAAAAAAGUCAGGAUGAAGACGUUGGGUUCCUCCAAAGUUUCUAGAGUUUGAGAGCGGCACUGCCAUUAUCAUAGCAAAGCUAAAGCCGUUGCCAAGGUCCCUUCAUUUUAUCUUUAAGUUCUAGUUCAUGAGAUGGGUUUCGUAAAAUUUCAAAUUGUUAUUUUUGACGUUGUAUGGCUGAUUCUGUGGGCUUAUUUAUGUUAUACGUCUCAUGAGGAGCAUAUUUAUGUUAUACGCUUGGUGAAGUAUGUGCUAGUUUUGAAUGAGUUUAUGAAAUAGAGAUCGGACUGUAAAUAGUCAUUUUUGCUACUUUUUCACUCAAUUUCUCUAAAAACUGAGGGCGAAAAUGGAAUCUAUGCGAAAGACUUAGUGAAAGGUGACACUUUGGGGUAAAUCCAUCACCGAAAGGCUCUAUGACUGGUGGUGGUUGGUGGCGGCAAAGGCCGGCAGCACUACCGUCGCCACUGCUCAUUUCUGCCAUGACUAGGUUGAGGAAGAAGAAGAGGGAAAAGGAAAAACAAAAAAAAAAAGGAAAAUUAAGUUUUAGUAAAACUACAUAGCAUUGGCCCACAUCUAAACUAAGCCGCUCGUAAUUUGGUCCAUGAAUUUCUUGAACCUCACUAUAGGCCCACAACUUUGAUUCUAUUGCAUCUAGGUCCAUUUUUUAAUGCAUUUUGGUCCAUGGACUUUAUCUAUAUUUAAUUUUGAUCCCUAAUCUUUUUAAUAAUAUGACUUUGACCUUUAAAACUCUCUAAUUUUACAAUUAGGUCCCACUAGAAUGAUAACUUUUCAAUUAGAGCAGUUUGAUUUCUUUAAUUACUAUUUUAUUCCUCAAUUAUGCAUUUUUAUGUGUUUUUGUAUGACUAUUACAACUAAAUGACUUUAAUUAGCUUUGGUCUUUCAUUACUAUGACCUGAUAGUGGUAUCUUUGCUCCUUUUGUUCAUGUUGUGAGUCCUAAAUAGGAAAACCUUGAUCCAACACUUUAAACGGAGCGCAACGGAUCUUCUGUCCUAUACCCUGUGCCACUCUCUGUCCCACUUUUUAUUAUAUUGCUAUUUCUCCUAAAAAAUCUCAUUUUUUAUGCAUUUUGAUUUUUUGAGUUUGUUAAAUUUUGUGUAUAACUUAAUUAAUAGUUAUUGAAUCUUAAGGAAACAAAAAAAAAAAACUAAAACAUGAUGUUUAUGUAGGAGAAAUAGCAAUAUAAUAAAAAGUGGGACAAGGAGUGACACAGGGUGUGGGACAGAAGAUCCGUUGCGUUAAAGGGAGGUACCCUUCUUGGUUUUACAUCCAAUUAUGUUCUAUUAUGUGUUUAUAUGCUCUAAGUUGUUUUAAUUUCUUAGUUUGCUAUUAUAUUACCUUCUUAGUUGCAAUUUGCUUUUUAAAAUGCUUGUUCAUUUUACUCUAAUUUUUUCAAGUUGUUUUCAUUUAAUUAAAUAAAAUAGUUGGGUUCAUGUUUUUCGUUCUCCCUUUGUUAGAUUGCAAUUAGGACCUCACAUAUAUCAGAUAGGUUUAUUUUUCAUUGUUUCCGUGUCAGAUUGUAGCCGUGUUCUCUAACGUAAUAGAUAAGGCUUCUAUGUGUUAUGUGCUCUUAUGUGCUUACGUAUUUGCAUGCUUUCAUAAGGAUUGGCAUCUAGAUAUCAUGCUUAUUUGUUACGUGCUGAGUGUGCUUUCCAUGUUUACUCCUUUUAUAUCAUGCUCUUGUAUACAAUGCCUGCUUAGCGCCAUCACACUUGUGCUAGUUGUGGCACCUUCCAUGUUUAUUUGCUAAACCAAUACUAGUGAAGAUUUGUAAAAAUAGGUUAAUUCAAUGCUAGAAUCUUAGAUUUUUUGCACAUUAAAUCCACGUAUUGUAUGUUAUUCAUUUCAUUUUUGUACAUAUUUUUUUAUAUUUUUAGACAUUUUUUUUCUCAUUUGUAUGUUGUUUUUUCCUGUAAUAUGCCCCUAUCCUGUAUGUGUUUGAGCAAUUUCAUUUAUAUUUGCAUUUCGUAUAAGAAUUUAGAAAUUAGAUAGUUCAUUUGCUUGUUUAGAUGUGUAAAGUCACCCUUUUAAGUAUGAAAAUGGGCAAUUAUUGCAAUUGUGAAAUGGUUAAGAGGAAGUAACACUCCUAAUCUUAAACUCUUCAAUGGACUAUCUACGCACAAGUGCUUAGUCUGCAUGUUUUGCAUACUUCCCUCAAACAAUGUUGUUUUAAGUUAAAUGAAUAUGUGUAAUACUCUCCAUUUUGGUUGCAGAGACUAUUAGCUUUGCUUCGUCAUCCUGACUAUUGCAUCUCUGCCUAUUCAUCUGUAAGUUACAUACAUUUAUGUUCACUUUUUUGGGAUUUCAAACUGGUCUUGACAGCAAAGUAUAUUAGUCGUCCCUUGAUAAGAUGCUCACUUUUAUGGAAGAAGAAUUUGCUUGAUUCAGACUUUGAUUAGAAUCCAUUAGAUCGUAAGGUAAGUUAUUCAUCUUGUUUAGAUUUUAGACAUCUGUAGCUUUAUUGUGAUCAUUUUAAAUGCCUACUGAAGCGUGUAAUCAACUUCUGAUAGGACUAGGCGCUUGAAUAUUGGGAAUAAAGUUAACAACUUCUCUGCUUGAUUUGCUGGCUUUUAGAUUGGAUUUUACAUUUGUUUUGCCACUUCUAAUCAUUGAAUGAACUGAGUCUUUAGUUUGCUAUCCAUGGUUUCUACAGCCUGCAUUAACAUUUUAAUUGACGUAAGCCCUGAUAAGCCUCCAAUGGAGAUGUGUACUACACAAGAGCACUGUCCCCAUAAAUCAAACCUGCAGCUUUUCUGGUCAUGCUGGACCAAAUUUAACAUUGCCCUAAGGCUGAUUCACCUGUAAAUGGCUCACUUUCAUCACCAUCUAAGACACUUUUUUUCACCUAUCUUUGGUGGUUUGAAGCAACCUAACGGUAAGUUUCUGCAGAAUGUACACCUAAUUAUCUGCUAGCUAGUUUAAUAUGUCCUUCAGCAGUGCAAACUUAGUUUUGCUGUGCAGAAUGUACGUUCUGUCAAGAAUUAUAGUACAUGCACGACGAAGUGGCAUUCUUCUUCCAAUUAAAAGACUGUAGCUAAUUAGUAACAUGCUCCUGGCCACUGAGUUUUUGCGGCUUAAUCUUCUUUAGCCAACUCUUCAUUCUUAUUUUUCUCGAUGGAUUCGUUUCUCUUGUAUCCUCAAAAUACAAUGCUCCAUAGGAUAAU
rnacentral:lncRNA from 1 species